UGGGGAAUAUUGGACAAUGGGCGCAAGCCUGAUCCAGCCAUGCCGCGUGAGUGAUGAAGGCCUUAGGGUUGUAAAGCUCUUUCACCGAUGAAGAUAAUGACGGUAGUCGGAGAAGAAGCCCCGGCUAACUUCGUGCCAGCAGCCGCGGUAAUACGAAGGGGGCUAGCGUUGUUCGGAAUUACUGGGCGUAAAGCGCACGUAGGCGGAUAUUUAAGUCAGGGGUGAAAUCCCGCAGCUCAACUGCGGAACUGCCUUUGAUACUGGGUAUCUUGAGUAUGGAAGAGGUUAGUGGAAUUGCGAGUGUAGAGGUGAAAUUCGUAGAUAUUCGCAGGAACACCAGUGGCGAAGGCGGCUAACUGGUCCAUAACUGACGCUGAGGUGCGAAAGCGUGGGGAGCAAACA
rnacentral:rRNA from 1 species